UUUGAUCGACCCCAACCACAGUGGAUUCUCAGCAGAACGAUCCUGCCCAUAGGUGGCGAUCAACGCCUGCGCCUC
rfam:Nocardia donostiensis strain X1655 35, whole genome shotgun sequence.